AUGGUCUAAGAGGUGGCAGACAAGAGGUGCAGGAGGUCCUGGAGGAGAACUCUCUUCUCUCAGGUGGGCCUCACAGUGUAUGAUAGGCUGAAUGAAGAUCUGUGACUCCACAAGCUGGUGUAAAACCUGACGAUCCACGUUAUAUCAAAUCCAUUGCCGUGUCAUCUGAUCACAUGCUUCAAUGGAAGGGAUAAGACUCAAAGAAAAUCUGAUUUUUUGUACAAAGGAGUUAACAUGGGCAAUAUCACAAAUUUGCUUAAAAAAAGAAUCCCAACUUUUCAAUGUUCUCUCAGACUUUUUGACCCCAGUGUACAUUCAUGCCAGAAACAGGAAACAUUUUCUGAUAUCAAAACAUCUCUUUCCCGUUCACUCUUAUUUCAUAUAUCUGCAUGCUGGUCCUCAUUAAUGUUUUUCUGCACUUUGUCCUGAUCUGCAUACCGGAGUUUCUUUACAGUGCCUAUAUAGUCCCAGCAGGCAUUAUGCCUGUUUUCCCUCAUCCCAGAAACAGCCACUCAGAAAGUCCUUUGCACUUGUAUGUUUUAUUAUAUAAUAGGCCCUGGCCUGCUCCUACAUAAGUCUUGAUGUGUACCAUAUGUUGAAAGCGAUCCUUCACUGCUAUGAUCCAGAAUGAAAACGCAAUCAUAGCUCGUCAGAGCUCCCCCUCAGACAAACAGAAUAUAGCUGUUAGGACUAUGACAUCCUAAAACAGAGAACCUGAAAUGUGGGCAAUCCAUAACUGUACCGCAGACUGUUGGUCAUAGUGACAGAGUGCGUAAGAAGGCAAGGAGCUAUGCGGUGUCCUGGAAAGCCCACACACCACUUGUAGUACCUAACAGGGCCUGACCACCAGCAGGAGCUACUUAGAAUUUAAUAGCCCAUAGCUCGCUUUAUGAGCUGCUGCAAGAAAGCACAGAAAACAUGUUAAGAGAGUCUCAACAAACCAUAAUCCUCACACAUACCUGCUUCAGAAUGUACCACACUGCACCAGCCCUGGGUUUACUGUGUAACAAGUGAUAAGAGAUGAGCUGGAAGAUUAGCAGCAAAAAAAUAAUAAUAAUAAUAAAAUGUCAAAGGCAUUUCAGCAUCAGGUUCCUAAAAAUUCAACAAAUUACACAUUU
ensembl:lncRNA